UACGGAAGGUCCGGGCGUUAUCCGGAUUUAUUGGGUUUAAAGGGAGCGUAGGCCGGCUUUUAAGUCAGCUGUGAAAGUUUGCGGCUCAACCGUAAAAUUGCAGUUGAAACUGGCAGUCUUGAGUACAGUAGAGGUGGGCGGAAUUCAUGGUGUAGCGGUGAAAUGCUUAGAUAUCAUGAAGAACUCCGAUCGCGAAGGCAAGUGUCCGGGGUGCAACUGACGCUGAGGCUCGAAAGUGCGGGUAUCAAACAGG
rnacentral:rRNA from 1 species